AGGGAAUCUUCGGCAAUGGACGGAAGUCUGACCGAGCAACGCCGCGUGAGUGAAGAAGGUUUUCGGAUCGUAAAGCUCUGUUGUAAGAGAAGAACGAGUGUGAGAGUGGAAAGUUCACACUGUGACGGUAUCUUACCAGAAAGGGACGGCUAACUACGUGCCAGCAGCCGCGGUAAUACGUAGGUCCCGAGCGUUGUCCGGAUUUAUUGGGCGUAAAGCGAGCGCAGGCGGUUAGAUAAGUCUGAAGUUAAAGGCUGUGGCUUAACCAUAGUAGGCUUUGGAAACUGUUUAACUUGAGUGCAAGAGGGGAGAGUGGAAUUCCAUGUGUAGCGGUGAAAUGCGUAGAUAUAUGGGGGAACACCGGUGGCGAAAGCGGCUCUCUGGCUUGUAACUGACGCUGAGGCUCGAAAGCGUGGGGAGCAAACAGGAUUAGAUACCCUGGUAGUCCACGCCGUAAACGAUGAGUGCUAGGUGUUAGACCCUUUCCGGGGUUUAGUGCCGUAGCUAACGCAUUAAGCACUCCGCCUGGGGAGUACGACCGCAAGGUUG
rnacentral:rRNA from 1 species